CAGCCAUUUCCACUGCUGCCUGUUUGGCCUGCUCACACCAGCGCUCUGAGGGGGAAGCUGCUACUUGCUUUACCCCAUAGGUUUUUUCCCUUUUUUCCUUCCCCCACCCCCCAAAUAUCCCAGGUUCGAGCUUCCCCUGCUUCAACUGCCCCAGAAUCCUUGGAGUUCUCAAGACUUUGCCCAGAGAAGCUGUUUUGUGAGUAGCAGCAGACACACUUAUACAUUAAUGAAGCCAGCACUUUAUCAGUUCACAUGUGGAAAGUUCUCUUUCCAACCAGGGUGUUUGGGAGGCAGGGUGUCUUUUUUCAAUAAAAGAUGAAAUUCUGCAGAAGUUGAAGUCCAUCACCCGGAAAAGUUUCCUACUUGCCAUAGGUGCAGGAUUGCGAGCCCCUUAUUCCUGUUCAUCAACCAUUAUUGAGAGGGACUGUUCCACUGGAGUCAAUGGGACUAAUCUGUGCCAGGAAGAACCUACCAGUGUGCUUCUGCCACAUCUUUGUGUACAUUGGUAAAUGGAAGCGACCAAUUGCAUGGUUGAAAAAAACCCAGAAUUUGGUAGUUGCACAGAGCUCCAGCAGAGACAUACCAGCCUAACAAAUAAAGAGUUUGCAAUGUUCAGCUGCUAAGCUACAACCAUCCUUAAGAUUUGAAGACUGGUAAACAAAACAUUGUUUGGAAAAGGCCCGUCGGGCCUCCAGCUUGGCAAAGCUAAUAAAGCAUAUGCACAACUUUAAUCAGAGAGCUCCUCUCUUUUUUUAUUUCCCCCACUUCUUCCCCCCACUCCCUUUACUUUGCUUUGGUGGGAUGAUGCAUCCAGUUGGAGCCGCUAAACAGAAGGAACCAAGGAGGAGAAGUGCAUCUCCAUUUCUAUAAGCCGUCUGCCGCUUCGAUACAUGCUGCAAACCUUGGCUUUAAGCUGAAGUGCAAAACCUCUGGGGCUUUCGCUCCCCGCUGUUAGCAUUUGA